AUGACUGUGGAGAAAUUUUUGGCAAAAAUCAGCAGUCAGGUCACACCUUGUGCUGAAGUCAACCUCACACAGAUCAUAACAGAAGUGACUGUGCCCACUCAGCUCUUUGGGCUGCUGCUGCUGUGGCUUUCAGAUGCCAGAUGUGACAUCCAGAUAACUCAGUCUACAGACUCCCUGGCUACAUAUGGGACCAAGUGUCACAUCACAUGUAGAGCAAGUGAGAAUAAGUACAAUGCUUUAAAUUGGUAUCAGCAGAAACAGGGAAAAUCUCCUCAGCUCCUGAUCUAUGCUGCAACCAGCUUGGCAGAUGGGAUCCCAUCAAGGUUCAGGGGCAGUGGAUCUGGUACACAAUAUUCUCUCAAGAUCAGUAGCCUGCACAUUGACGAUGUUGCAACUUAUUACUGUCAAAAUAGUGUAAGUACCCCUCUCACAGUGAUUCAAGCCAUGACAUAA